rnacentral:rRNA from 1 species
GCUCAGAUUGAACGCUGGCGGCAUGCUUUACACAUGCAAGUCGAACGGCAGCGCGGGCUUCGGCCUGGCGGCGAGUGGCGAACGGGUGAGUAAUAUAUCGGAACGUACCCAAGAGUGGGGGAUAACGUAGCGAAAGUUACGCUAAUACCGCAUACGAUCUAAGGAUGAAAGCAGGGGAUCGCAAGACCUUGUGCUCCUGGAGCGGCCGAUAUCUGAUUAGCUAGUUGGUGAGGUAAAGGCUCACCAAGGCAACGAUCAGUAGCUGGUCUGAGAGGACGACCAGCCACACUGGAACUGAGACACGGUCCAGACUCCUACGGGAGGCAGCAGUGGGGAAUUUUGGACAAUGGGGGCAACCCUGAUCCAGCAAUGCCGCGUGAGUGAAGAAGGCCUUCGGGUUGUAAAGCUCUUUUGUCAGGGAAGAAAAGGCUGUGGCUAAUAUCCACAGCUGCUGACGGUACCUGAAGAAUAAGCACCGGCUAACUACGUGCCAGCAGCCGCGGUAAUACGUAGGGUGCAAGCGUUAAUCGGAAUUACUGGGCGUAAAGCGUGCGCAGGCGGUUUCGUAAGUCUGUCGUGAAAUCCCCGGGCUCAACCUGGGAAUGGCGAUGGAGACUGCGAGGCUAGAGUUUGGCAGAGGGGGGUAGAAU